rnacentral:lncRNA from 1 species
CACCAAUAUUCACCUUUUUAACUUAAUUUUAUCUCUUGGAUUUGCUUUGUGGAAAGUUCUGCAUACUGUGUACUUAAGUAAUAGAAAAAAGAAAAUUCUGUAUUUUCAUAAAAUUUUGAUUUCAGUAUUUCAGAAGCAGGCUGUGAAGAGUCACAUGGGUUAACGGACUCUUGAUGACUGAUUUUUAUAAAAAGAAAAUUCUGUAUUUUCAUAAAAUUUUUAUUUCAGUAUUUCAGAAGCAGGGUGUGAAGAGUCACAUGGGUUAAUGGACUCUUGAUGAGUGAUUUUUACGACUCUCUUUUUGUUAACAGAUAACAAGAAAUCUCAUCAACAGAAGCAUUUUCAAGUAUGUGAAAAUGAGCGCAUCAAAAGAAUUUUUGCACAUGAAAUUCUCUGGCAGCCAUGAAGAUGCACCACCCAGAUCUUUCUUCAAAAGAACUUUCUCCAAUGUAAUUAGCUGGCAAGCUUCAACUGCUGUGUCUUUAAAAUCUGGUGCACUGUUUAUGCCAAGGCUACUUUCUUCCUGGGCUUGCAGUGAUUGAGAAGGAUACGACUUAAGAACUGUGUCAUUUGUGCCUUCAUGAAGGUAAUUGCUUCUAUCAUGAAGUCUUUACUCAGAGUCUCUGCAUCAGGCUGGCGGGAAUUUCUCAGAGUUGUACUGUAGUUUGAGGCUGUUAACCACUCAAUCCUCUCACGUUCCUUCUCUUCCUUCACAGGUAUCAAGUCAACAUCGUGGUCUGGUGGUCUGGAGCUCUCCCAUGUAGCAGCUGUGAGAAUGAGCUUCACACACUUCCAACUGCACGGAGAAUAUUGGACCAACGGCUCCAUCUGCUGUGCUCUGACAUCCAUUGCCAAGUUUGCACAGAGACUACACUUUCUGUGGGAUGUUUCCUGCCAAUGACUGACAGAUGUUAAGGCAUGCCCAUUCCUGGAAGCCACAGGAUGUCUCUGAAGGCCAACUUUGGCUUGCAGACUCCAUGAAGACCUUGCCAACCUUCUCUUAAUGAUUGCACAUCUGUCUGAGAUGCCUCCAUUCAACUUUCCCUCUCACUUUCACUUGCUGUGUGUGCUGCGCGGUCACUUCAAUUGUGUCCAGCUCUUUGUUACCCUAUGGGCUAUAGCCCACCAGGCUCCUCUGCCCAUGGGAUUCUCCAGGCCAGAAUACUGGAGUAGGUAGCCUUUCCCUCCUCCAGGGGAUCUUCCCAACCCAAGGAUCGAACCUGCACCUCCUGUAUCUCUUGCAUUGGCAGGCAGGUUCUUUACCACUAGCGCUAUUAGGGAAGCCCCUCCUUCCCUUAAGACAGAACUUUCAUUAUGGUCUGAAGGCUCUUCCAGCCUUCUCUAGAUACUUGCCCAUUUUCUUCCAGGCCACAAUUUCCACCAUAAAAUCCUGAUAUUUUAAAUUCAAUCUUGGCAUCUGCUUCUCUGAGGAUUCAGAGACCUCAUGCCAUCUAUUCCUGCU